rnacentral:tRNA from 1 species
CAUCUCAAAAAGGGGGAUAUGGCGAAAUUGGUAGACGUAUAGUAAGAGGAAAAUCCGUCGAUUUCAAAAAUCAUGAGGGUUCAAGUC